rnacentral:rRNA from 1 species
UACGGGGGGCAAGCGGUUGUUCGGAAUUACUGGGCGUAAAGGGCUUGGUAGGUGGCCAACUAAGUCAAACGUGAAAUCCCUCGGCUUAACCGGGGAACUGCGGCUUGAUACUGGAUGGCUGGAGUUUGGGAGAGGGAUGCGGAAUUCCAGGUGUAGCGGUGGAAAUGCGUAGAUAUCUGGAGGAACACCGGUGGCGAAGGCGG